UCAAGCGAAUAAGCGCACACGGUGGAUGCCUUGGCGGUCAGAGGCGAUGAAGGACGUGGCAGCCUGCGAAAAGUAUCGGGGAGCUGGCAACAAGCUUUGAUCCGGUAAUGUCCGAAUGGGGAAACCCACCCGCUUGCGGGUAUCCUGCAGUGAAUACAUAGCUGCUGGAAGCGAACCUGGUGAACUGAAAUAUCUAAGUAACCAGAGGAAAAGAAAUCAACCGAGAUUCCGUAAGUAGCGACGAGCGAACGCGGACUAGCCCUUAAGCUGAUUUGGUUCUAGGAAAACGCUCUGGAAAGAGCGGCCAUAGAAGGUGAUAGCCCUGUAUCUGAAAGGGCCAUUUCAGUGAAGACGAGUAGGGCGGGGCACGUGAAACCCUGUCUGAACAUGGGGGGACCAUCCUCCAAGGCUAAAUACUACUGACCGACCGAUAGUGAACCAGUACCGUGAGGGAAAGGCGAAAAGAACCCCGGAGAGGGGAGUGAAAUAGAACCUGAAACCGUGUGCGUACAAGCAGUAGGAGCUCCGCAAGGAGUGACUGCGUACCUUUUGUAUAAUGGGUCAGCGACUUACUGUUCGUGGCAAGCUUAACCGUAUAGGGGAGGCGAAGGGAAACCGAGUCUGAUAAGGGCGCAUAGUCGCGGGCAGUAGACCCGAAACCGGGUGAUCUAGUCAUGCCCAGGGUGAAGGUGCGGUAACACGCACUGGAGGCCCGAACCCACUCCCGUUGCAAAGGUAGGGGAUGAGGUGUGAUUAGGAGUGAAAAGCUAAUCGAACCCGGAGAUAGCUGGUUCUCCUCGAAAGCUAUUUAGGUAGCGCCUCAUAUGUAUCCUCUCGGGGGUAGAGCACUGUUAUGGCUAGGGGGUCAUCGCGACUUACCAAACCAUUGCAAACUCCGAAUACCGAGACGGACUGUAUGGGAGACACACGGCGGGUGCUAACGUCCGUCGUGAAAAGGGAAACAACCCAGACCCACAGCUAAGGUCCCAAAUUUUGUGCUAAGUGGAAAACCAUGUGGAAAGGCACAGACAGCCAGGAGGUUGGCUUAGAAGCAGCCACCCUUUAAAGAAAGCGUAAUAGCUCACUGGUCGAGUCGGUCUGCGGGGAAGAUUUAACGGGGCUAAGCACAGAACCGAAGCUUGGGGUGCAUACUUUGUAUGCGCAGUAGAGGAGCGUUCCGUAAGCCGUUGAAGGUGGAUUGAGAAGUCUGCUGGAGGUAUCGGAAGUGCGAAUGCUGACAUGAGUAACGAUAAUGCGGGUGAAAAACCCGCACGCCGAAAGCCCAAGGUUUCCUUGCGCAACGUUAAUCGGCGCAGGGUGAGUCGGCCCCUAAGGCGAGGACGAAAGUCGUAGUCGAUGGGAAGCAGGUUAAUAUUCCUGCACCUCGCGUAAGUGCGAUGGAGGGACGGAGAAGGUUAGGUGUACCAGGCGUUGGUUGUCCUGGGGAAAGGCGGUAGGUUUGGAUCUUUGGCAAAUCCGGGAUCCUUUAAGACCGAGCACCGAGACGAGCCUUUAUGGCGAAGUCACUGAUACCACGCUUCCAGGAAAAGCUCCUAAGCUUCAGCUUACGCAGACCGUACCGUAAACCGACACAGGUGGGUAGGAUGAGAAUUCUCAGGCGCUUGAGAGAACUCGGGUGAAGGAACUAGGCAACAUGGCACCGUAACUUCGGGAGAAGGUGCACCCUUUUUGGUGGCUCGUGCGAGCUAUAGCUGAAGAGGGUCGCAGUAACCAGGCCGCUGCGACUGUUUAUCAAAAACACAGCACUCUGCAAACACGAAAGUGGACGUAUAGGGUGUGACGCCUGCCCGGUGCUGGAAGGUUAAUUGAUGGGGUCAGCCGCAAGGCGAAGCUCUUGAUCGAAGCCCCAGUAAACGGCGGCCGUAACUAUAACGGUCCUAAGGUAGCGAAAUUCCUUGUCGGGUAAGUUCCGACCUGCACGAAUGGCGUAACGACAGCGGCGCUGUCUCCACCCGAGACUCAGUGAAAUUGAAAUCGCUGUGAAGAUGCAGCGUUCCCGUGGCAAGACGGAAAGACCCCGUGAACCUUUACUAUAGCUUUACACUGAACGUUGAGUUCGUCUGUGUAGGAUAGGUGGGAGGCUAUGAAACCAUGGCGCUAGCUGUGGUGGAGCCAUCCUUGAAAUACCACCCUGUCGUGCUUGACGUUCUAACCUGGGCCCAUUAUCUGGGUCGGGGACCGUGUAUGGUGGGUAGUUUGACUGGGGCGGUCUCCUCCUAAAGAGUAACGGAGGAGCUCGAAGGUACGCUCAGCGCGGUCGGACAUCGCGCACUGUGUGCAAAGGCAUAAGCGUGCUUGACUGCAAGAUCGACGGAUCAAGCAGGUAGGAAACUAGGACUUAGUGAUCCGGUGGUUCUGUAUGGAAGGGCCAUCGCUCAACGGAUAAAAGGUACUCCGGGGAUAACAGGCUGAUACCGCCCAAGAGUUCAUAUCGACGGCGGUGUUUGGCACCUCGAUGUCGGCUCAUCACAUCCUGGGGCUGUAGUCGGUCCCAAGGGUAUGGCUGUUCGCCAUUUAAAGUGGUACGCGAGCUGGGUUCAGAACGUCGUGAGACAGUUCGGUCCCUAUCUGCCAUGGGCGUUGGAGAUUUGAGAGGGGCUGCUCCUAGUACGAGAGGACCGGAGUGGACGAACCUCUGGUGUUCCGGUUGUCACGCCAGUGGCAUUGCCGGGUAGCUAUGUUCGGAAGCGAUAACCGCUGAAAGCAUCUAAGCGGGAAGCGCGCCUCAAGAUGAGAUCUCCCGGGGCACAAGCCCCCUGAAGGAACCAUGUAGACUACGUGGUUGAUAGGUCAGGUGUGUAAGUACAGCAAUGUAUUGAGCUAACUGAUACUAAUGAUCCGUGCGGCUUGACCA
rnacentral:rRNA from 1 species